rnacentral:rRNA from 1 species
AUGGGGGAAACCCUGAUGCAGCGACGCCGCGUGGAGGAAGAAGGUUUUCGGAUUGUAAACUCCUGUCGUUAGGGACGAUAAUGACGGUACCUAACAAGAAAGCACCGGCUAACUACGUGCCAGCAGCCGCGGUAAAACGUAGGGUGCAAGCGUUGUCCGGAAUUACUGGGUGUAAAGGGAGCGCAGGCGGGAAGACAAGUUGGAAGUGAAAUCCAUGGGCUCAACCCAUGAACUGCUUUCAAAACUGUUUUUCUUGAGUAGUGCAGAGGUAGGCGGAAUUCCCGGUGUAGCGGUGGAAUGCGUAGAUAUCGGGAGGAACACCAGUGGCGAAGGCGACCUACUGGGCACCAACUGACGCU